rnacentral:rRNA from 1 species
UAACGAAUCUUGGGCAAUGGGCGCAAGCCUGACCCAGCGAUGCCGCGUGCUGGAGGAAGCCCCUCGGGGUGUAAACUGCUGUCAGGGGUUAGCAAGCGAAGGGAGUUAACAGCUCCCGGAGUUGAGCAGCCCCAGAGGAAGCCUCGACUAACUCUGUGCCAGCAGUCGCGGUAAGACAGAGGAGGCAAGCGUUGUUCGGAAUCCCUGGGCUUAAAGCGCGUGUAGGCGGCCGAGUAAGUGGUGUGGGAAAGCCCGCGGCUCAACCGCGGAACGGCACGGCAAACUGGUCGGCUUGAGGUCGGUAGAGGUGCCUGGAACUCUAGGUGGAGCGGUGAAAUGCGUAGAUAUCUAGAGGAACGCCGGAGGCGAAAGCGGGGCACUGGGCCGAUUCUGACGCUGAGACGCGAAAGCGUGGGGAGCAAACA